rnacentral:rRNA from 1 species
UACGUAGGGUGCAAGCGUUUGUCCGGAAUUAUUGGGCGUAAAGAGCUCGUAGGCGGUUUGUUGCGUCGGCUGUGAAAUCCCGAGGCUCAACCUCGGGUCUGCAGUCGAUACGAGCAAACUAGAGUGUUGCAGGGGAGACUGGAAUUCCUGGUGUAGCGGUGAAAUGCGCAGAUAUCAGGAGGAACACCGGUGGCGAAGGCGGGUCUCUGGGCAACAACUGACGCUGGAGGAGCGAAAGCGGUGGGGAGCGAACAGG